rnacentral:tRNA from 1 species
GGGUUCCUGUUGUAACGGUAGCAGUGCCGGUCUCCAAAACCGGCGGUCGAGGUUCAAAUCCUCGGGAGCCCG